UAGACAGGUAUCUGAUCUCUACUGUAGUAGGGUUGGAAGGUUAGACAGGUAUCUGAUCUCUACUGUAGUAGGGUUGGAAGGUUAGACAGGUGGUAUGUAUCUGAUCUCUACUGUAGUAGGGUUGGAAGGUUAGACAGGUAUCUGAUCUCUACUGUAGUAGGGAUGGAAGGUUAGACAGGUAUCUGAUCUCUACUGUAGUAGGGUUGGAAGGUUAGACAGGUAUCUGAUCUCUACUGUAGUAGGGUUGGAAGGUUAGACAGGUGGUAUGUAUCUGAUCUCUACUGUAGUAGGGUUGGAAGGUUAGACAGGUGGUAUGUAUCUGAUCUCUACUGUAGUAGGGUUGGAAGGUUAGACAGGUGGUAUGUAUCUGAUCUCUACUGUAGUAGGGUUGGAAGGUUAGACAGGUAUCUGAUCUCUACUGUAGUAGGGUUGGAAGGUUAGACAGGUGGUAUGUAUCUGAUCUCUACUGUAGUAGGGUUGGAAGGU
rnacentral:lncRNA from 1 species